UACGUAGGGUGCAAGCGUUACUCGGAAUUACUGGGCGUAAAGCGUGCGCAGGCGGUUUUGUAAGUCUGACGGGAAAUCCCCGGGCUUAACCUGGGAAUUGCGUUGGAGACUGCAAGGCUGGAGUCUGGCAGAGGGGGGUAGAAUUCCACGUGUAGCAGUGAAAUGCGUAGAGAUGUGGAGGAACACCGAUGGCGAAGGCAGCCCCCUGGGUCAAGACUGACGCUCAUGCACGAAAGCGUGGGGAGCAAACAGG
rnacentral:rRNA from 1 species